rnacentral:rRNA from 1 species
GACGGGGCCGCGACAAGCGGUGGAGCAUGUGGUUAUUCGAAGCAACGCGAAGAACCUUACCAGGUCUGACAUCCCUGACAACCGAGAGAUCGGGCGUUCCCCGUCGGGGGACAGGGUGACAGGUGGUGCAUGGUUGUCGUCAGCUCGUGUCGUGAGAUGUUGGGUUAAGUCCCGCAACGAGCGCAACCCUCGACCUUAGUUGCCAGCAUUCAGUUGGGCACUCUAAGGUGACUGCCGGCUAAAAGUCGGAGGAAGGUGGGAUGACGUCAAAUCAUCAUGCCCCUUAUGACCUGGGCUACACACGUGCUACAAUGGGCGGUACAAAGGGUCGCGAACCCGCGAGGGGGAGCCAAUCCCAAAAAAGCCGCUCUCAGCUCGGAUUGCAGGCUGCAACUCGCCUGCAUGAAGCUGGAAUUGCUAGUAAUCGCGGAUCAGCAUGCCGCGGUGAAUACGUUCCCGGGCCUU